GUUAACGGCUAUACCAUGCUGAAAGUACCGGUUCUCAUCCAAUCACCGCAAUCAAGCCGCAUCGGGCGCGGUCAGUUCUUUGGUGGAGGUGGUGACCACUUGGGAACACCACGUGCUGUUGACA
rnacentral:rRNA from 1 species